GGCUUCUGCGCAGCAGACUCGAUAUUUAUUGGUAAAACGCGACAUAACUCUGCAAAUUGCUUUUGAAACUUCGGAAAAAAUGAACGAUGACAUUUUACAACGUCCAUUAUGGACCGAGAUAAGGCGGGAUACGAGUGGAAUGUUUGCUUAAAAGAAGAAGUUAGGAUGGCGUUGUAGCAUGUAAUCGGAUGUGGAAAUCAGAUAGUUUCAAAUACAGCUGUAUCCUGAUGAGUGGAUCCUUUUUUUUUUUUACCUACGGCCUACCCUGUUCGGAUUGCCAGAAACAUGAUAUAUAACGGAAACUAAAAGUCGAUAUGAAGUUAAUGAACCGCCAAUCACCAAGCACAGCCGAUCAAAAUUUUAUCCUCGAUUUACAGUGAAAUUUUCUCGAAAACAGUAGAAAACCAUUGAUCGACAACGAAGAAAAUCCGAAGAGGAAGGAAACUGGUGCCCUUAUCCAGGUCCAUCUUUCCGAGCAAAUCUGCAUUCCCGAUCUUCCAACCGUAAUAACAGUUUCGUCCGUCUGAAAAUUAACAAAAACAUUCCUCCGUUAAAAUAAUGUUACCGGAUGAAAAACGGCAAAGAAGUACUAUGUAUAUUACUUGAGG